rnacentral:rRNA from 1 species
UUUUAUGUUUUUUUUGUAAAAUAUUUUGAUUUUUUGUAUUUUUUUGUAAUAUUUAAAAUUUGGUUUUUGAACUGGAUUAGUACCCAGGUAAUCAAAGUUUAUUAAUUCGGGAGUAAAGUUUUGUUUAAACCGAAAAAAUAUUGACUGACUUUAGAUUUUUCUUUGGAAUAUGUGUUUUUGGAGAGCCCUCUUUUUUGGUAAAUUUUAUUGGCACAUGUAUGAUUGUUUAGUUUUUAUUUUAUUUGUGUUGCUUUUUUUGUUUUUUGCAUUUAAAACAGAUAUAUAUUUGGCUUAUAAAUUUAUUUUUCAUGUGUUACUAUUAUUAAUUUUUUUUGGAUUUGUUUUUUAUUUUAUUUUUGAAAUUGGAAAAGAAAGUAAUU